CCUACGGGAGGCAGCAGUGAGGAAUAUUGGUCAAUGGGAGAGAUCCUGAACCAGCCAAGCCGCGUGAGGGAAGACGGCCCUAUGGGUUGUAAACCUCUUUUGUCGGAGAACAAAACCCGGGACGAGUCCCGGACUGCGUGUAUCCGAAGAAAAAGCAUCGGCUAACUCCGUGCCAGCAGCCGCGGUAAUACGGAGGAUGCGAGCGUUAUCCGGAUUUAUUGGGUUUAAAGGGUGCGUAGGCGGCCUGUUAAGUCAGCGGUAAAAUGGCGGGGCUCAACCCCGUCGAGCCGUUGAAACUGGCAGACUUGAGUUGGCGAGAAGUACGCGGAAUGCGCGGUGUAGCGGUGAAAUGCAUAGAUAUCGCGCAGAACUCCGAUUGCGAAGGCAGCGUACCGGCGCCAGACUGACGCUGAGGCACGAAAGCGUGGGGAUCGAACAGGAUUAGAUACCCUUGUAGUC
rnacentral:rRNA from 1 species